GAUUGGAUGGCCGAGCGGUCAAUGGCAGCGGACUGUUAAUCCGCCGAACGAAAGUUCACGAGGGUUCGAAUCCCUCUCCAAUCGCCA
rnacentral:tRNA from 1 species